UUCAAGUCUAUUAUCGCAAUGAAAUCAUUUGUUCUAACUACAAGAAUCAGAAUUGAAUACACGUGUCCUUAUAUCGAAUAGCGUGCCGUUUUGAACUAGACAAUUCACUCAUCAACCUACGAGAAAGAAUUUUACACAGUACACCUUUCACUCGUUUUAUUAAUCAGUGUCGAGAUUCUACACGCCUAAUAAUUUAUUAAAAAAUGAUUCAAUUAAAAAUCUUUGAUGGAUUAAAACAAAAUUUAAUUUAAAAGACCUUGAAAAUACAGUAAAAGACGAGCAGGUGUGCCGCAUUCCUUUAAACGGAAUACCGACAUAGCCGGUAGAAUAAGAUUACUCGCUUCACGACCGGACUGGCAAGAACAGGAUGGAAUCCGCGCACUAAAAUUCUAUAGUGAAUUGGAAAUGCAUGCUACACUAAAUAUAUAUACAUAUAUAUGUAUAUAUAUUCAUAUAUAUGUGCAUAUAUAUCGUUGCAAGAAUAGUAUAAUUACACAUGUCCAUAUCAGAGGACAAAUAUUACGUAUAUACCUAUCCACGCAGCACCGUUACAUUGGAACACCACAUGGUCGAGUAGCGGUCGCGUGAUACGAGCUAAAAAGACAUUACCCAGUUUUAUCCUGCUCGAGAGCGCGUUCUUUCGAUCGGUGUUUGGUCAGCCUCUGGUUCACCCGACGUUGUUUCGUUUUGAGCACAACAUAAAAUUAUGAAUGUCCGUCGGAUUCGUGCUCUAUACGCCACAGUAGUCUGUUAUUAGACCCACAGUAAUAGCAACGUGGAAUUCAUCGCGGCACGUAACAAGAUAUCAAUAUGUCACUGUGAACCCGGACGUUUUGCGAUUGUUGUAAUCUUAUACACGUCAACACGAAACGUUCGCGAAGCACGAUUGUUCGUGUAGAGUACGAAAGGAAAGCAGGACGCGGAAUGCACACACGACGAUGGAUCAGACUGGCGAGAGACGCCAGGUGCGAGCAGCGGACAAUCGGUCAAACUUCUCGUCGAAUGCACUUAACACGACGGCGUACGAUGUCACACACGCGGUCUGUUCCCGUGACUGUAGACGUGUCUACUUUCUGCGAGCAACGGUUGAUUAGCACGAAUUUCAUUGAUACGCACCUCUUAUGACCUAGUAACAAGAACGCCUCCAGGUGCACAUCCCGUACGUCGCACAUACGUGUACAUCCGACACUGCAGAGCCACUGAAAGCAGCGCCGAGGUUAGAGUAUCGAAGUGGGGACACCUGUUCAACAUCCGUAGCAGCACUUUCUAUACUCUGAUGGCAGUGCGUGGCCCCGAUAUCGAUAGUGGCCACGAUUGCCAAUGUACGCACAAUCGAGAGCUCCGUCGACUGAGUCGAGAUUUAUCGGACGCGAAAUAACUUUGCUACACUUCAUUCAACGCUCGACUCGCUCUCAUUGAUUCGCAAUGGCGAUCGGUGCACCACAUGUGGUCAUUACUUGAAUUACUUUGAAAACUUUAACUCGAAUCAUAUAUGGAUCAUAUAUUUUUUGAAAAAAUGAAAUUUAUUUGGAAUAAAUUAUUUCUUCCUAUCUUUA